GCGAGGUCAUGGAGCAGACCAGAAAGCGUCCUCAUCAAAGGUUGUUCAUGCACAGAAGAUUGAGCCACUUACCGCUGCUGAGCUUAAUCAAUUUAUAGUCACGGCUGAUACUCAGAUAAUUGAGUUUCUCUGCACGGCUAAAGUGACUGGUAUCCAGCAUGAUGACGGUUGGUGUUAUAUUGGCUGCUCCGGGUCUUCCUUAUCUUAAUUUGAAGUUACUGUUUGUUAUAACUGAGCGAGAUCUUGCACCGAUGCCAGCCUUUGUUAUAACUGAAGGCGCAAAGAUCCCUGAAUAAGCGCUGCCUGAAGUUAUUGCACCAGGAAUAGAUGCCAAAGUUGGCAAGACUUGCAAUGAUGCUUCUACAGCAAAGCGUGCACCAUCGAGCAAAGAACAAGUCGCUGAGAAAUCCCGUGUGGAAUGAGUCCACUACAAAACUUAAGCAACCAUAGCUUCUUUUUUUUUUCAAAUUAUGCUUUACUAUCUUUUCCUUUUCA